UACGGAGGGGGCUAGCGUUGUUCGGAAUUACUGGGCGUAAAGCGCACGUAGGCGGACAUUUAAGUCAGGGGUGAAAUCCCGGGGCUCAACCCCGGAGCUGCCUUUGAUACUGGGUGUCUGGAGGUCGAGAGAGGUGAGUGGAAUUCCGAGUGUAGAGGUGAAAUUCGUAGAUAUUCGGAAGAACACCAGUGGCGAAGGCGACUUACUGGACACAUAUUGACGCUGAGGUGCGAAAGCGUGGGGAGCAAACAGG
rnacentral:rRNA from 1 species